AGGAUUUUCAUACAAGUAGAGGUGUAACUUGAACAUUUCCCCUUUUUAUAAGGAGGAAGGUCCAACACAAAGGCCUGACGUGGAAUCCAAUUCUCAGAAGAGCCAACAAACAUCGGUUGGCUAAUCCAGUAACAUGUCUGAACAUUAUUCCUUGAGAAAUCAGCAACAGUAUUUAUACAAAGACUGCAGCUACAUGCCUGGAUUGUUACUUCAAAUCUCCAAUCAAAUUACCAGACAGGCUCCCAGAUGAGAUGGGCGAUGGCGUUACUUAUAACAGCAGUUCACCUCUUCUCUACUGUUUCUGGGGAACACAAAAGGGGGCAAUAGAAACAUCAGUCAGGUCAUGCACCACAGGCCCAGAACAUAACUGACAGGGUAUAAGCAGGUUUGACAAUCAGGAAACGCGAGCCUGUCUAGAGACAACAAUGGACAAACAAUCCACAGGAUUAAAAUCUUGUAAUUUCCAUUAUGACAUCCACAUACAACGGACAAAGCGCACAAUGGCUGUCAUUUCAUCCUCUAAUGAAGAACAAGAAAAGAGAUUGAGUUAUGAGGUAUAAUAAGCGCACAAAGUACACUAAGUUGUAUUAUUAUUUUUAAAAGGACAGCUCUAAGGUUCGAGAGAAGCUACCAAGGCUUUAGUUCACCCACCGGGCCAGCAGUCCAGUUCAGGAGGGUCUGCCCGGGCUUCGGGGUAGUCGGGGAGGAUUUGGGCAGC
rnacentral:lncRNA from 1 species